UAUAUAUAUAUAUAUUAAAAUUCUCCUGGCUUAUCUACAGUAAACUUAGGUUUUUUUUGGUAGAUUUCGUCAUUCAUUUGUGUUGGGCAGUUUAUGUCAUUUUCUCCAUUCUUUGUACAUACGUGUUCUCAUUCUCAAUCCACCGCUUCAGCUGUCCAAUGGUUUUGCUCCAGCGAGGUCACUGCUUCUCCUUUGCUUAAGUUAGUCCACCGCCUCAACUACCACCGCUUCUUCCACUAAGACGAACCUUGAACCCACAAAAAUCCAAUAUCGUCAGAACCUCUUAAAAUCUCACCGAUGCUCCCUCUUCUUCUUCCACCCCAUUGCCUUGCUCUCUCGCCAAAGAUCGUCUGAUCGAGUAGCAACGAAAGAUGCUACUGCAGAGCUGGUGACGUCGACGACAAACCUUCUCCUUUUCUACAUGGAUUGAAGCUUCCAUCUUCGAUUGGAGAACAUUCGGCGCCUUCGUUUCUGUUUCAGCUUAGAAAAUCGAUUCCCCUCCUCCUCCGUCGUUUUCCUAUUCCAGGUUUGGUGAGGAAAAUCCCUAGCUUGGUUAAUCUCCCGGUUCGCCAUCUACCUUCCAUCCUUUUUUUCUGUUUCCGUGUACUGCCAUCUGUUGGGAAUGGAAGAUAGAAGCAUAUGUAUAUGCCUUUGACUCAACCGCCAUCUGUCAAACGGAUUUACAGACCCAAUUCUUAUCCAGGUAUUAAUAGCCCUAGAAAAGAUGUAUAUGCCUGAAUUAGCCUACUGAUUUAGAGACCAAUUCUUAUCCUCACUUUACAGUUCCAUGUUUAGUUUAGCCAUAUAAGGGAUAUGCUUUUCAACCCAUGUCUUUUAAUUAUGUAUGAUUCACAAAGUGCAUAUAUUGUCAUUAAAGAACUUAUUGUGAUUUUGGUGUGGAUGCGAGGUGGUAAUGGAGGCGGGUGAAUGAUGGCUUGAUUGGAGAAAUAAGGGAGGUGGUUGACGGUUGUUUUAAGUGGGAAUGAUGGAGAAGUGCUGGUCAGGAGUGGGGGUGAUGAUGGAUUAACGUGUUGUUUUCGUUGAAGGAUGUUCAUCGGGGUUAUUUUAACUUUACCUUGGUAAUUCAUGAAGCUAUUCCGAUUCCCAGUUUUGUGAUGCAGACAACAGUUGAAGGAAGCAUGAUGUUGGGCAUCAUGGAGCGGAAUGGCGUCAACACCACUUUCAUCCUCAACCGUCAGAUGUGUGACAAAAAAGCCCUUUUGUUCAUUGUAGUUACACACCAGAAUGUCAUUGCUCUUGCACAAGAAUGCCAUUCACACUUGGAAAUAUGUGACAUUUACUAAGUUUUUUUUGUAAUUUGAUAAUAUGCAAAAGGGUACUAUUGAUUUCACCUUCAAAUCAAGAAGCAAUUAUGCUGUUUUUUGUGACUACCAUUUAUAUAAAAUAAUAUAUUAAUCAGACCAUAAUUACCAUAAUACCCUUUUGCAUAUUAUCAAAUUACAAAAAAAAACUGUAUAGUUCCAAGCAUGUCCAUAGGCAUGUUACUGUUAUCAUGUUAUCAGAUUCAGAAUCACUACCCUGUUAAAAAAAUCUCAAGAAAACCAAAUUAAGGAAAUUCAGAAAACAAACAAUUUUUUUUUCACAGACUAAUUUAUUUAUUAAUAUUACCUCAGGGUUUCCAUGGCAGACAAGUACAAUCCGAUUACUAGCUUUCCUUCCUGCAGAGCUUCCAGAAGCAAUAGGGGAGCUUGGAGUUUGAUUUAAUCUGUUAAGACAUAAAUAUGGAGAUCCACCUUCAGGUUGUGGGACAAAAUCUAGCACACUUACACCACAGUUGCUUUGAAGUAAAAUUCUGAAGUACUCUGUUCCUAAACCUGAACAAAUUUUUUUACCACCAUGAACAAGUGACUAUGAUUUAGCAUUUUCAGCCAUUAGCUUGGAAAGGAAGAACUUCAAUUUUGAAGCUUUUUGCGGUUUUCUUUCUUCAGAUCGACCUUUCAUUUUUUUUCCCUUUCUCUUCUUAUCAUUUGUUCUUUACCAAGUUAUUCUUAAGCGCAUCCGACACCUAUAUAUUAUUGUUUCUGUAUCAUAGCAGGUUAAAGACCACCUUACUUGACAAUCGUUGACUUUGCUAACUGGAAGUGCUUUGAAACGACAAUCAGGUAAGAAGCUUUUUUAUUUUGUAUGUAUCUUUCUUAAAUAGAAUUGCUUGGCUCUGUAUCUCCAUUUUCUCUUUACCUUUCCGUGACUCAUUUGUUUUGUUUGUGCUAAUUUUAAUAAGUUUUUUGAUAUAAAGAUUAAAGAGUUUUUUUUAGCUUCAAACUGGAAUUAAACAAAAACAUAUGAGUUUUUCUACAGAUUUUCAGAUUGCCACUGUUUGUGGAGAUGGUAGUGACAUUGAAAGAAGACUGCUUCUUUUUCCAUAACAGUUAGGCCUAGGUGAUGUAUUGUUGCAAAAUGGUACUUCAAAUUGUUCGAUGAAAUGUCGGAAUUAAGACCUACGUAUUUUUCAAUCAAUGUGUGCUUAUUGUAGUGAAGCCAUAUGGUAUGAGAGAACUUCUGUUUAAUGUUUAAAUACAAAUGCAAAGAGGCAAACAUUACUUACUUAAAAUAACAACAUUUUAUGGUUUUUUCGUAUCAUGUUGAUUCCUACAUUUAAUAAAAAUAAUGUUUUUCCGCCGCA